AUGCUUGACUUGGCAGCAAACAUAAUGAAAUUGGAAUGAUAAGAAAAGAUUAGCAUGGCUCCUUCAUAAAGAUGAUGUCUAAAAAUACGAGAAGGCUUCCAUGUAC
ensembl:snRNA U6 U6 spliceosomal RNA